UACAUAAGGGGAAAACAGAAAUCGCUCCA
rnacentral:piRNA from 1 species